CUCUCUCUCUCUCUCACAAAUCUGUGACUCCGACCCCAAAUCCUCCAAAUCUCUUCCUCAAUCAUGUAAGUCAUCUAAACCCUUCUUUAAAUUACAUUUUUUUAGGUUGGAAUGUUAGAAUUGUGGAUUUUAGGUUUUGAAUCUGAAGAUUUAGGAUAGAAUUGAUAGUUUUAGGAGUUAUAUGUUGUUAGAUUUUGUUUUAGGUUGUUGUUUUGUAUGUAGAUUGAAACUUUUAG
rnacentral:lncRNA from 1 species